rnacentral:rRNA from 1 species
UACGUAGGGGGCAAGCGUUGUCCGGAUUUAUUGGGCGUAAAGAGCGUGUAGGCGGCCAUACAGGUCAGCUGUGAAAACUCGAGGCUCAACCUCGAGACGUCGGUUGAAACCGUAUGGCUAGAGUCCGGAAGAGGAGAGUGGAAUUCCCGGUGUAGCGGUGAAAUGGCGCAGAUAUCGGGAAGAACACCCGUGGCUAAGGCGGCUCUCUAGUACGGUACUGACGCUGAGACGCGAAAAGCGUGGGGGAGCGAACAGG